rnacentral:rRNA from 1 species
UAAUACGGAGGGUGCAAGCGUUAUCCGGAUUCACUGGGUUUAAAGGGUGCGUAGGCGGGCAGAUAAGUCAGUGGUGAAAUCUCUGGGCUUAACUCAGAAACUGCCGUUGAUACUAUUUGUCUUGAAUAUCAUGGAGGUAAGCGGAAUAUGUCAUGUAGCGGUGAAAUGCUUAGAUAUGACAUAGAACACCGAUAGCGAAGGCAGCUUACUACAUGUUCAUUGACGCUGAUGCACGAAAGCGUGGGGAGCAAACAGGAUUAGAUACCCUGGUAGUCCACGCCCUAAACGAUGGAUACUCGACAUCAGCGAUAUACUGUUGGUGUCUGAGCGAAAGCAUUAAGUAUCCCACCUGGGAAGUACGACCGCAAGGUU